rnacentral:lncRNA from 1 species
ACAGAAACUUAAGUGAUUUAGAGUGUGACUUUCAUGAACAGAAAUAGUCUCCAUAAUCUAAUCUCCAGAAUGCACUAAACCAGGAGAAGAUCCACCUGGAUAAUUUCGUUGUCAAAGGAAUGGAAGAAUAUUAAGGAGAACAAGUCCUCAUCUCUCCAAAGACCCUUCAUCCUUCAUUUCACAAUAGUCUUUAUUGGUCUGCUGGAGUUUGCUGGAGGUCCACUCCAGACCCUGUUUGCCUGGGUAUCACCGGCAGAGGCUGCAGAGCAGCAAAGAUUGCUGCCUGCUCCUUCCUCUGGAAGCUUCAUCCCAAAGGGGCACCCGCCUGAUGCCAGCCAGAGCUCUCCUGUACGAGAGAUGCCCUGCCCAGUGAGGAGGAAUCUAGAGAAGCAGUCUGGCCAUAGCUUUGCUGCACUGCGAUGUUACCUUUUUGACAUAACCAAGUAAACCAACAGGCUUGAAGACACACCGAUCAUAAAAAUGAAUCUAAGAACCCAGGUGUAAUCUUCUGAUUUCUAGGUCCCAGCGCUUCUCAUUUUUAAGCAGAGUUUCAUAGAAAUACUCUAUUCAAACAAACAAACAAAAAAAACAGAAAAGCCACAGACCUCUGUAACAUUUAAGCAGAGGUGUCCUCUUAGUAAAAUGUAAAAUACAUGUGUGAAAUCUGUUUCCAACAAGCUCUUAUGUUAUUUUUAGUGGCCCUUCUCA